ensembl:lncRNA
GUCAGUACCCAUGCUAGAUAGGCAUUCCGCAGAUUUUCAAAAACUGAGCUCAUUGAAUGAAAAUGCAGUUUAUGCCUCAUGGCUCCCUCCCUCCCCACAGCCUCUCUCUUAUCUCAGGAAGUGACCAGUGUGCAGGGAAUCGGCAGUGUCUGGCCAUCGUUACGGUGUCCACUAUUUCUGUCACCACCCCACCCUCCCACUCUUGCAAUCUCUCCAGGUCUCUUAUACCCCAAAUCCCAUAGAUAUUUCCAUUCUUUUCAGCAGAAAUAGAAAGGAGACUCCAGAGUAAGACACCCUCUGCUGCAGAGACCCACAGCUUCACCUGGGACCCGGCACGGAGGGAGGGAGUACUAGCUUGUGAAGUGGCAAUGCGCUGGGCUAAUUGAAAAACCUGGGUAGAGAAAGUGCUAUUCCGCUGAGUCAGUGUUGGCAUGAGGUACCCACAUCUAGACAUGACUGGGGUGUGGGUUGUUCUUCUAAUCCCUGCUGUGCUAUGCCACAAGCCAGCAUCUCCUCAAUCUCUAUGGGCCGGACCUUGCAGGACCUGGUGGUUUUAUGAAGCACCAGAGAUCAGUAAAAAACAAUAAGCCUUUGGAGAGAGAGACAACUUGGACUCACCAUCUGGAAUCAGCUGGCACCCCAGGCUUCUUGGACCCACCAUGAGAAGAGCAUCCUCUGAGGAAAAGACUACAUUUCUUGCCACUCUGAGCAGAUGGAAUCCUGAAUAUUGCAUAAUGAUGCAUCCUUUUCAAAUGACAUCUAUUUGUCCUAACAGACUAAUGAUGAUGUUCCCUCUAAUUACAAGUUUAGCAGUAAAUUUUUACAUGAAAGGAUGAAUAAAUGAAUGAAAGCUGGAACAGAAUACCUAUGCCUGAAGCAGAAUUCCGCAUCUUUGGCUUCCAAAAACUCUCAAUCAAAUGUCCCUGAGAACUUCCUCAGAUCUGACUUCCCACACAAACCUUGCAGAUUUUGUGCACCGUGAUGUGAAGUACACGGCAGUCUGGUUACAUGAGAGUUGACACAAGCUAACAGCUUUUCAAAAUUUCUUUUUCACCCUUGAUGAGCACAAGUUCACAGCCCAUAGGUCCCUGCAAUCCAAAUAUCCCCACGGAAACACUUUGGGCAUAUCACUCAGGCUCUUCCUCCGAAGCUGUCAGGACCAAAGCAGUGACAGCGUUAGGUUUCGUUCCAGUGCACCUGUUAGGCGUAACCUAAUUG